UACAGAGGGUGCGAGCGUUAAUCGGAGUUACUGGGCGUAAAGGGCGCGUAGGUGGUUUAGUAAGUGAGAUGUGAAAUCCCUGGGCUUAACCUAGGAACUGCAUCUUAUACUGUUAGACUUGAGUACUGUAGAGGGUAGUGGAAUUUCCGGUGUAGCGGUGAAAUGCGUAGAGAUCGGCAGGAACACCCAGGGGGAAACCAGCCGACUGGGCAUCUACUGACGCUGAGGUGCGAGAGCGUGGGGAGCGAACCGG
rnacentral:rRNA from 1 species